CAAGGGGACAGCGAGACAGGUGCUGCAUGGCUGUCGUCAGCUCGUGUCGUGAGAUGUUGGGUUAAGUCCCCGCAACCGAGCCGCAACCCUCAUCCUUAGUUGCCAUCAUUGAGUUGGGAACUCUAAGGAAACUGCCUCGGUUAACGGGAGGAAGGUGGGGAUGACGUCAAGUCCUCAUGGCCUUUAUGUCCAGGGCUACACACGUGCUACAAUGGGCGGAACAAAGGGUUGCAAUACCGCAAGGUGGAGCUAAUCUCAAAAACCGCUCUCAGUUCAGAUUGGAGUCUGCAACUCGACUCCAUGAAGGCGGAAUCGCUAGUAACCGCGCGUCAGCAAUAGUGCGGUGAAUACGGUUCCCGGGCCUU
rnacentral:rRNA from 1 species